CUACGGGGUGCAGCAGUGAGGAAUAUUGCACAAUGGGGGGAACCCUGAUGCAGCAACGCCGCGUGGAGGAUGACGCAUUUCGGUGUGUAAACUCCUUUUAUAUGUCAAGAAAAUGACGGUAGCAUAUGAAUAAGCACCGGCUAACUCCGUGCCAGCAGCCGCGGUAAUACGGAGGGUGCAAGCGUUACUCGGAAUCACUGGGCGUAAAGGACGCGUAGGCGAGCUUGUAAGUCAGGUGUGAAAUCCUACAGCUUAACUGUAGAACUGCACUUGAAACUACGAGCCUAGAGUAUGGGAGGGGAAGAUGGAAUUAGUGGUGUAGGGGUAAAAUCCGUAGAUAUCACUAGGAAUACCUAAAGCGAAGGCGAUCUGCUGGAACAUAACUGACGCUAAGGCGUGAAAGCGUGGGGAGCAAACAGGAUUAGAUACCCGUGUAGUC
rnacentral:rRNA from 1 species